GACGAACGCUGGCGGCGUGCUUAACACAUGCAAGUCGAACGGAAAGGCCCUGCUUUUGUGGGGUGCUCGUGUGGCGAACGGGUGAGUAACACGUGAGUAACCUGCCCUUGACUUUGGGAUAACUUCAGGAAACUGGGGCUAAUACCGGAUAGGAGCUCCUGCUGCAUGGUGGGGGUUGGAAAGUUUCGGCGGUUGGGGCUGGACUCGCGGCUUAUCAGCUUGUUGGUGGGGUAGUGGCUGUCGAAGGCUUUGACGGGUAGCCGGCCUGGGAGGGUGACCGGCCACAAUAGGACUGAGAUACGGCCCAGACGCGUACGGGAGGCAGCAGGGGGGAAUAUUACACAAUGAGCGGAAGCCUGAUGCAGCGACGCCGCGUGCGGGAUGACGUCCUUCGAGUUGUAAACCGCUUUCGCCUGUGACGAAGCGUGAGUGACGGUAAUGGGUAAAGAAGCACCGGCUAACUACGUG
rnacentral:rRNA from 1 species